rnacentral:tRNA from 1 species
UGCAUCAGCCGGGAAUCGAACCCGGGCUGCCCGCGUGGCAGGCAAGCAUUCUACCACUGAACCACCGAUGG